rnacentral:rRNA from 1 species
AACGGAUAGACUAACAGGAUCCCCUAGUAACUGCGAGUGAAGAGGGAAAAGCUCAAAUUUAAAAUCUGGCAGCCUUUGGUUGUCCGAGUUGUAAUCUAGAGAAGUGUUACCCGCGCUGGACCGUGUAUAAGUCUCCUGGAAUGGAGCGUCAUAGAGGGUGAGAAUCCCGUCUUCGACAUGGAUCCCCAGGGCAUUGUGGUACGCUCUCAAAGAGUCGAGUUGUUUGGGAAUGCAGCUCAAAAUGGGUGGUAAAUUCCAUCUAAAGCUAAAUAUUGGCGAGAGACCGAUAGCGAACAAGUACCGUGAGGGAAAGAUGAAAAGAACUUUGGAAAGAGAGUUAAACAGUACGUGAAAUUGCUGAAAGGGAAACGCUUGAAGUCAGUCGCGUCGUCUGGAAAUCAACCUUGCUUCUGCUUGGUGUACUUUCCAGUUGACGGGCCAGCAUCAGUUUUGACCGGUGGAAAAAUUCCAAGGGAAUGUGGCACCUUCGGGUGUGUUAUAGCCCUUGGUUGCAUGCAUCGGUUGGGACUGAGGAACUCAGCAUGCCGCAAGGCCGGUCUUCGGACACGUUCGUGCUUAGGAUGCUGGCAUAAUGGCUUUAAUCGACCCGUCUUGAAACACGGACCAAGGAGUCUAACAUGCUUGCGAGUGUUUGGGUGGAAAACCCGAGCGCGUAAUGAAAGUGAAAGUCGAGAUCCCUGUCGCGGGGAGCAUCGACGCCCGGACCAGACGUUCUCUGACGGAUCCGCGGUAGAGCACGUAUGUUGGGACCCGAAAGAUGGUGAACUAUGCCUGAAUAGGGUGAAGCCAGAGGAAACUCUGGUGGAGGCUCGUAGCGAUUCUGACGUGCAAAUCGAUCGUCAAAUUUGGGUAUAGGGGCGAAAGACUAAUCGAACCAUCUAGUAGCUGGUUCCUGCCGAGAUC